UGGCCAACUAUGGUUCCUGACAUGUCUGCAUUCAUCACCGCUUGCACAGUGUGUGCACAGAACAAGACUCCUAGGCAAGCUCCGGCUGGUCUCCUACAACCUCUGCCUGUCCCCCACCAUCCCUGGUCUCACAUCUCCCUGGCCUUUGUCACGGGUCUUCCCCCGUCUGAUGGCAACAUCGCCAUCCUGACCGUGGUGAAUCGGUUUUCCAAAGCCGCCCACUUCGUUCCUCUCCCUAAACUACCCUCUGCCAAAGAGAUGGCCUAGCUCAUGGUGCAGCACAUCUUCGGGAUCCAUGGACUGCCCGUGGACAUGGUCUCCGACCGGGGUCCUCAGUUCUUGUCCCAGUUCUGGAAGGCGUUCUUCACCCUCAUUUUGUCGUUGGUCAGCCUGUCCUCCGGCUUCCACUCCCAGUCCAACGGCCAGUCAGAGCGAGCCAACCAGGUCCUCGAAACUACCCUGUGCUUCCUGGUCUCCGCCAACCCCACCACCUGGAGCCAGCAGUUUGUGUGGAUCGAAUACGCCUGCAAAACCCUUCCCUGCUCUUCCACGGGCCUAUCUCCCUUUGAGUGUUCCCUGGGGUAUCAGCCCCCGCUCUUCCCUGAGCAGGAAGAGGAGGUUGGCAUACCUUCUGCCCAGAUGUUUGUCCGCCGCUGUUGUCGUACCUGGAGGAGAGACCGGUCGGCCCUCCUCAAGACUACCUCCAGGUAUCAAUGACAAGCAGAUCGCCAUCGGUCCCCGGCUUCCCAGGCAGAAGGCCCACCCCUCCUCCCUGUAUCGUUGAUGGCCAUCCGUACACAGUGAGAUGCCUCCUGAGGGUUCGACCACGGGACAGGGGUUUCCAGUACAUGGUUGACUGGGAGGGUUACAGCCCGGAGGAGGGGUGCUGGGUCCCCGCUAGAGACAUCCUGGACCCAACCCUCAUCGCCGACUUCCACCGCCGGCACCCCGGUCAACCAGGAGGGAAGGAGGAAAACCAGUCGGCAUGGAUGGAGGCAAUGGAACAAAGCCAACACCUUGACUAAGCAGAGAGAGAGAAAGCUGCCCUAGGAGGGAAAAGGCAUCAUGAGAGAGGAGAAGAAAAAAAGAGGAGAGAAAGUUUGGGUCGAGGAGUGCUUGAGCAUGGAGAGAGAGAGAGAGAGAGAGAGAAGAGAUGAGGCAGAUGAGAAAGGAGUGAGCUAGUAGGAAGUUGGUUACAGACACUGAUCUAUGAAGCCAUUUGGAAAAACCUGCAACCCAGGAUGCCAUGGAUAAAAGGGUCCAGAUUCAGGUCAACCUUUAGCUGAAAGAGGCCUCCGAUUGUGAAGGUGGGAGAAGGCCGUGCACAGGGGAGAGGGAUCCGCUGCAGUGAGAGUCAGCAUCAAGUCUCGGACCACCUAUCUCAAAACCAGCCUCUACUCCCAAGCCACAAGACUGAUCCAACAGCUGAACCCUGGGCUGACUCCUGCACCUUACCACACACUUACCAUUUAGUCAUAUUCUGUACACAUAAAUCACUUUAGUCUACCGGACCAAUGAAGUAGUUAUGUCAACUGCACUAUGUAGAUAUACUAUUAUUAUAAUUCUAUGCUGCUACUGCAUUGUAGUUAUUCCACUCUAUGGGCAAAACAUUUCCAUACUAUAUGAAUAUAGGCUAUUUUGGUUUUAUCUUAAGGCUGUUUUUGUUUGAUCUUAUUCUUAUUUAUAUCUUAUAUCUUUUUUUGAUCUGCAUGCUUCUUUUGUACAUGUUUUUAUUGUUUAAUUGUUAGUAGGUCACACAGGAAAGGAAUCAAAUAAGUGAC
rnacentral:lncRNA from 1 species